UAAAACAAACUCGGGACGAGGGACGACGAACAUUUCUUUCAAAUGAAAGAAAUGUGCGUCGUCCCUCGUCCCGAGUUUGUUUUA
rnacentral:pre_miRNA from 1 species